GUGCCAGCAGCCGCGGUAAUACGGAGGGUGCGAGCGUUGUCCGGAAUCACUGGGCGUAAAGGGCGCGUAGGCGGCUUGGGAAGUCCGUGGUGAAAGCUCGUGGCUCAACUGCGAGUCGGCCAUGGAUACUCCUAAGCUCGAGUCGACUAGAGGCAGAUGGAAUUCCGGGUGUAGCGGUGGAAUGCGUAGAGAUCCGGGAGGAACAUCUGUGGCGAAGGCGACUGCCUGGACCAGCACUGACACUGAGGCACGAAAGCGUGGGGAUUAAACAGGAUUAGAUACCCUGGUAGUCCACGCCGUAAACGAUGGUCACUAGGUGUGUGCGGUAUCGACCCCGCACGUGCCGACGCCAACGCAUUAAGUGACCCGCCUGGGGAGUACGGCCGCAAGGUUGAAACUCAAAGGAAUUGACGG
rnacentral:rRNA from 1 species